CGCAACCCCUCGCAUUCAGUUGCCAUCGGGUAGUGCCGGGCACUCUGGAAGGACUGCCAUCGACAAGAUGGAGGAAGUGGGGAUGACGUCAAGUCAUCAUGGCCCUUAUGUCCAGGGCGACACACGUGCUACAAUGGCCGGCACAACGGGAAGCGAGUUCGCGAGGACAAGCGGAUCCCUUAAAGCCGGUCGCAGUUCGGAUUGAAGUCUGCAACUCGACUUCAUGAAGCUGGAAUCGCUAGUAAUCGUGGAUCAGCCAAGCCGCGGUGAAUACGUUCCCGGGCCUU
rnacentral:rRNA from 1 species